rnacentral:lncRNA from 1 species
GCCUAAUCCAUUGUCUUUUGCACUACAAACAAUUUCUGUUGGGAAAAGUGCCAUGGAGUAUCGACAGUGACAACAAAUUGCAUUGUGCGGUGAACAUCUGUUUCCGACUCCCACACUGAUAUUGCAGGUUGGCUACUUCUGCGUUAGUCCUCACAGGCUGCCCAACCUCAGAGGAACUGGAAAUUACUGGCAGGAAGAACAUCAGUGACUGCACACUGGUUACAAAAGAAGCUGAAGCUAUUGUAGACCACGGUGACCUGGGCACGAGCUGCAGCAUCGGUUUUGGCUUCCACCUGCACACUAGAUAAUUUGUUUUGCUGAUUUUCACUGAGCUACAGGAGCAGCAAGAUGGAGUGCAGACUGCAGGCCUGCCUGACCCACCCACUCUGGACCUUCUCCUCAAAGAUUUCCACCUUUUCCUGAAAGGCUGAGCAAGGAAUUGAAGGGAGUGCUGGUGAACUGCUGCACUCACUGUAGGUCCGUGCAGCCCACAGCCACAAACAGCCCCCGUUAGUGCUGCCCACGGACUGACUGCGGUGCUAACGUAAUUCCCAGGAAGGAGAAAGGAAAAGAAGAGCCAGCAAACAACAGAAAGGGGAUUUAGGAAUAACGCGUAGCAAAUGAAACUUAAACACUUGAGCCAGGCGCUCUGCAGAAGAAAACAGGAAACUGGCAGAUGCUGUGAGUGAAACUGGAAAUGCGCUAUUCGAGAUCUCAGCUUGCACUUCUUACUUGGACACAGUUCUCAUCAGCCUCAAUGAGGUCUUCUUCCAAUAAGCAAACAAAACCAGACCCAUAAGCACAACUUGACUUAACACUGAACAUCACCAUAUGCAUAAAGACUGACUUCUUCAGCUCUCUGUUCAGGAGCAGCUGUAGGUGCAUGUUUAUUUCCUCGUACAGGGAAUUCUUGCCACUGCACAGAGAGGUUCCCAGCGCUCUGUUGCUCCUAUGGACAUUUCCCCCAAACUUUUAAGAGGUACGAGGUGGAAUAGUGGAUGACCAGACACCCCCGGUGCCCCCCAAGGGGCUGCGAUGAGUUGGCUCAGGGACAGUGAGCCAUGACUCAGCCCCACCGGCCUCUGCUCAUUGCUCAGCACAAAUGGCAGCAGUGCAGUAAGUACCGAAUGGCAGCCAGGUGGAACAGAGGGUGCUGACUGUAACACCGGGCUGGGGACACAACUCUUCGUCACAUCCAGUGUCACUCAGUCGGGACGAUGCUUCCUGUAUUCAGCAAACAUGCCAGUAAAAGAAUUUCCUUGGCAUAGAGACAACGUGGAAAUGUCCUUUUAAAAGCCAGUUAAUACCAACAGAACUCAUGAGCUAGCUGGAACCAUUUCCUAUGCUAUGGAAAGAACACUUGAAUAAGGCUAACCAAGACGUUUCACCCUGCCCACCUCCCCCCUCCCCAUCUAUUUCUGGAUGUCUUCUUUUGUUCACCCUUGGCUAAUUAUAGAGGCCUUGCUUAGGUUGUAUUUAUAGCCUUAAAAGAGUUGCCUGACUUCUAGAACACUUUAUUCAUGUAUAUUUCCUGUGUUUAUUGUUGCCUUCGCUAAUUUUUGAGAUUAAAUUUACUUGAUCCAAGAUUUGACUUAGUAACAAAUAUCAAAGUGGCUGCUCUGUCAGCAGCUGGAGGGCUGUGUUUAGAUGCAAAAAAAAGCAUUUUUCUAUUUCUGAAUUUCUGAAAAAACAGUUCUGGUUUCUGUCCAUUUCCAGGCAGUGAGAAUGGCGGGCAACUCCGGAACUGGACAAAAUGAAUGUUCUUCUUUUGCAUUUAUUUCACUAGUUUGUAUCUAUAAAUGCAUAUAUAUACAUAUAUAUUUAUGAACUAUGACGGUUGCUUUAAUGCUUGAGGCGUUCCCAUAACGCUGUUGUUUACCUGCCCAGCCUGCACCCGCAGCCCAGAGCUACCAGCUGCAGAAGGAAAGAAGCCACUGAAGAUGUCCACGUGAAAUUGUAGCUUCGCUUUCCUACUGGAGCCGUUCUUUCUCUCUUUAGUUCUCCUUCUUACCCCUGCCCUCUCAUUUGUUCUGGAGCUGCUCUGCAGACACACCUGUGGCGAUGCCAAGAGCAGCGGCUUUUAGUCUUAAGCGAGCAAAUACAGCCUGCGACGCCCUGCAGGUGGCCCGGGCGGCAGCAGCUGCCUGCUCGGCACGUGGCGGACGGCUCGCUCCGUGCUGCCCGUCCCGGCGGGAGGAGCGCGGCCUGCAGCCUCAGGUGCGCGCGAGGGGAGCGGUCUGCAGCCCGGGGAGCGCGGGAAGAGCGCGGUCUGCAGCCUCAGGUGCGCCGGAUGAGCGUGUGGGGGGAGAGCGCGCGGCGGGCAACGUGCAGCCUGAGGUGCGCGGGAAGAAGAGCGGCUCGAGGCGUUCGGGGCUAACGGCUGCGUGUGAACGCGUGUGCUUCACGUCGCUUCUAGAAUGCGGGUAAGAUAGCACGUAAGCACGAUGUGCCGUGAUUUAGCGAGCGUGAGCUGACUAAAGCUGCUGUCUGUGAGCGU